rnacentral:lncRNA from 1 species
AUUUCUCUUGGGUCUUUCUGCAUCAGAUUUUUUUUUUUUUUUACAGGGUGACUUUCUUCUCAGUCUUGUUGGCUCCUUCAUUAUUUGUGAGCCCUUUCUGCAGCAGAACUUGGGAUAUAUCAUUACUUGAGGAAAUGUAAGUUUGCAAAAGAGACGGUUAUGGAACAUAAAGAAGAAAAAAGCAAGAACUUAUUUAUACCGACAGAGAGAAGUUCUCUAAUAGACCUCCUCGCCUCUUCUUCAAAGGAACUUCCCACUCCCAGUAGCCAUGGGGCUCUUCUGAAAAUGAAAUGCAAGAUGAACAAAGCCCUCAGGACAGCAGAGACACACGGACGGCACCGUAUACAGGAGCCCUUGGGACUGCACUGCCAACCAAACGUCAACCUAGCCUUUCGGGCACAUUGCACAGGUAUUGCACAUGUGUUUAUCUGGGAUAUUCCCCGCAGAUGUCUAGGAAGAGAGAAGAUCUCUGUGGCCUCUGCUGUUGCCAUGGCUUAAAAACAUCAUUUCUUAGUGGUGUUGAUGCAUCUGGCAGCUUUACCAGGUAUGUUUUCCCCCCCAACAUUGUAUUUCAUCAUUUUAAAGAAAGUUAGGUUCUAACAGG